rnacentral:rRNA from 1 species
UGCCUUAUGAAAACAAAUAUAAGGUAACUCCUGCCCAGUGAAAAAAUUUCAACGGCCGCGGUAUCCUAACCGUGCAAAGGUAGCAUAAUCACUUGUCUAUUAAUUGUAGACUAGAAUGAAAGGAUAAACGAAAUAAGAACUGUCUCUACUAGCCAUGUAUAAAUUAUAUUUUAGAUGAAGAUAUCUAAAUAAAAAUGAAGGACAAGAAGACCCUAUAGAGCUUUAUCCAAAAAAGAAAUAAAUAAUUUCUUUUACAGAUUCGGUUGGGGCGACCAAGGGAAAAAUCAUCACCCUUUAACUAUAAGAUCUAUUUAUCAAUAUCGCGACCCUUAUUCAAGAUCGUAAAAACAAGCUACCUUAGGGAUAACAGGCUAAUCCUAUUAAAGAGUCCUUAUCUAUAGUGGGGGUUGGCACCUCGAUGUUGGCUUAGGGUAUCACUAUGGCGCAAAAGUCAUAAAAAGAUGGUUUGUUCAACCUUUAAUUCCCU